rnacentral:misc_RNA from 1 species
UCCUGGUUUCCCAGGCAGUCCCAUCAGAGUGCUCCGUCACCGGAUAGCAACUGACAGUAGGGGUUGCGCUCGUUAUAGGACUUAACCCAACAUCUCACGACACGAGCUGACGACAGCCAUGCAGCACCUGUGCAUAUGUCAAAGGUUACCCCUUGAAGAUCGUAUUUCUACGACUGUCAUAUGCAUGUCAAGCCUAGGUAAGGUUCCUCGCGUAGUGUCGAAUUAAACCACAUGUUCCACCGCUUGUGCGGACCCCCGUCAAUUCCUUUGAGUUUUAAUCUUGCGACCGUAAUCCCCAGGCGAAUCACUUAACGCGUUAGCUGCGACACUAAUCCUGCAAGCAGGACUAACGUCUAGUGAUCAUCGUUUACAGCGUGGACUAC